rnacentral:lncRNA from 1 species
CUAGUUCUGAUGAUAACCACUUGAAAUUAUUGUCAGAUUCUACAAAUUUAAGGGCACAAUUUCCCUAAAGAUCUGCUGCCUCAUAUUAGAUGGCCACCCACAUGUUUGGGAAGGUGAGUAAUCUGUUUAUAGUUCCAGUUGACUAGGAAGGCACUUAAUAGUCUCCCACAGGCACUUAAAGUAGAAUGACUAGCAAGAAACUCCAGGAAGCCCUACACAAAAGAUUACAGUUUCAUCAUAAAGACUAUAUAUUGGAAUAGCGGCCAGACGAAAACCUGAAUGAAAGAGAAGAAUACAAAGAAAAAAACCCACAAUACCAGAUUUGGGAUACUUUCCUAUGCUUUGUUGGUCAGAGAGGUCUCAGAAGCAUCCAAAGCAAUAUGGAUUAUCAUCACUGCUUUUGAUUGGUUGCCCACAAGAACAUGAAGCACCACAUUAGUCAUGUUAGUGACUGAUGCCUGGGAGAACAGAGGAUAUACCUUCACAGCAGUCACCAAUGUCACUGGUACUUUCCUGGGAUCCUUGUUACCU